CAGUCGCCGCGGUAAUACGAAGGGGGCUAGCGUUGCUCGGAAUGACUGGGCGUAAAGGGCGCGUAGGCGGAUUGCGCAGUCAGAUGUGAAAUUCCUGGGCUUAACCUGGGGGCUGCAUUUGAGACGCGUAGUCUAGAGUGUGAAAGAGGGUCGUGGAAUUCCCAGUGUAGAGGUGAAAUUCGUAGAUAUUGGGAUGAACACCGGUGGCGAAGGCGGCGACCUGGUUCAUAACUGACGCUGAGGCGCGAAAGCGUGGGGAGCAAACAGGAUUAGAUACCCCCGUAGUCCCUGUCUCUUAUAC
rnacentral:rRNA from 1 species